GGCUUUCAUGAUUAUACCAAAUACUUUUGCCACUUCACCUUUAUGCCCCUAACAAAUUUGAC
rnacentral:lncRNA from 1 species